GUAGUGAGGUUUCUGCCAUUGGGCAUUGCAGAAGCUUAGCUUAAGUUUUACUCAAAUAAAUGUGAAUGAAGUGUGAAUUAACGUGGAUUUUGGAUUUCAUUCUUCAGUGACCUCCCACGGGUGCUUCCUGUCGUUUUGGGUGAACCACAGACAUAUUCAAGGGAGAGAGGAAACCUCCGUCAUGUCAGCUCCGUGACAUCGAAGCGACCGCGCCGUUGCAGCACACCGCCGGUGACGGAUGCCUUUUUGUCUUGUGCAGUCAGGCCGGAGCGCCUGGACGGCAGACGGCUGUAAUCGCACCGACGGGUGACACAUCUGUGGAAACCAGAAGAUGAUGGGGGGAGACUGCUUAAAUCCUGUGACCUGCACCGCACACGCCUCCUCCCGGUACCAUGGAGGAGCUCCCAGGAUCUACUAGCGAGGAUGAAGGAGGGAUCUCCGAGGAUCUAUGAGCGAGGAUGGAGGAGGGAUCUCCGAGGAUCUAUGAGCGAGGAUGGAGGAGGGAUCUCCGAGGAUCUAUGAGCGAGGAUGGAGGAGGGAUCUCUGAGGAUCUAUGAGCGAGGAUGGAGGAGGGAUCUCUGAGGAUCUAUGAGCAAGGAUGGAGGAGGGCUCUCUGAGGAGCUAUGAGCGAGGAUGGAGGAGGGAUCUCUGAGGAUCUAUGAGCGAGGAUGGAGGAGGGAUCUCUGAGGAGC